UACGAAGGGGGCUAGCGUUGCUCGGAAUUACUGGGCGUAAAGCGCACGUAGGCGGCUUUCUAAGUCAGGGGUGAAAUCCCAAGGCUCAACCUUGGAACUGCCUUUGAUACUGGGGAUCUCGAGUCCGGAAGAGGUUGGUGGAACUGCGAGUGUAGAGGUGAAAUUCGUAGAUAUUCGCAAGAACACCAGUGGCGAAGGCGGCCAACUGGUCCGGUACUGACGCUGAGGUGCGAAAGCGUGGGGAGCAAACAGG
rnacentral:rRNA from 1 species